rnacentral:lncRNA from 1 species
UCGAAGCACCAGUUCCUAUACCUCUGAAGAUACAGUAGGAUGGAAUGGAGCCACUUGAAGAAGAAGAGCACCAAGGUCCAAGCACGACCGGGCAAAAUUGGUCUUUUUUAGUCUUUACUCUAUUCUUGUUACACGACAAUGAGCAAAGAGCGGCAGCUGUAAUAGGCCCAAUUUGCCCGGGCCCAAAAGCACAAACAAAAAAUAAAUAAACCAAAUAUAAAAAAAUAAAAAAAGUGUCCAAUGAAAUAGCAGUCCAGAUUACAAAAAAAACUCACUAGACCCAACAGUAGGCCCAACAUGGCUCAAACCCAAUUACAUUUAGCCUAACCCUCCAGCCUAAUGGCCCAAAUCACUACCCAAACCCAAAUCUAAACCUAAACAGACCCUAAACCCAAUUUUCAAAUACCCUCCAGCCCAACUACCAUGGCCCAACGCCGCCC